UACGUAGGGUGCAAGCGUUAAUCGGAAUUACUGGGCGUAAAGCGUGCGCAGGCGGUUUUGUAAGACAGGUGUGAAAUCCCCGGGCUUAACCUGGGAACUGCAUUUGUGACUGCAAGGCUGGAGUGCGGCAAAGGGGGAUGGAAUUCCGCGUGUAGCAGUGAAAUGCGUAGAGAUGUGGAGGAACACCGAUGGCGAAGGCAGCCCCCUGGGUCAAGAUUGACGCUCAUGCACGAAAGCGUGGGGAGCAAACAGG
rnacentral:rRNA from 1 species